GGUUUUGAUGUGCUUCCAGGUGCGUUGUAGUAUCUGCACUGCUGCUGACAUGUUGAGUCCUGUACUCCGUCAUAUAUGGGCCUACGAUACGAAACUGGGCCUUGCGAAGUUUCCCAGCAAGUGCUAGAGAGUGCCAGGCGACACGGUUCGCUCGGCGGCGGCGCCAUCUGGCAGCUUCUGCAAAACUGAAGUGCCCAUUCCAGCCCUCCCGUAGCGAUCGACCUCUGAACUACGCAGCGGAAAAAUCCCAUCAAAAAACAAGGGGAAAAAACAACACAGCAUGAACUGCUUGAAGAACUCGCGUUCUGUCCUCUCGCGACUCCUUCGCCACAGGCCCCACGUAGCAGCGCCACCGCCGCCGACGCCGGCGACGGCGCCGCAGUCACCGGCUUCACGGUACUACUACUACGCCUCCCGCGUCAAGCCAGCCGUCUCCCGACCGCCGCCGCCGCCCCAGUUGCCGAGAUCUAGGCACUACUACACAUCCCCGCGGCGGCAGCAGGUCGUCCACUUCAACCGCCGCCGCGGCGGGUCCCGGUGGUACCACGACCAGCGGAAGCUCACGGCGGCGGUCUUAAUCAGCGGCGGCGGGGCGGUCGCGUUCUACUUCGGCCAUUUGGAGACCGUGCCCUACACCAACCGCUCCCACCUCGUCGUCCUCUCGCCGAAGUUCGAGCGCCAGCUCGGCGAGUCCCAGUUUGCCCAGCUCAAGAAGGAGUUCGGGCCCAAGAUCCUGCCACCGCUCCACCCCGACAGCAUCCGUGUCCGCCUCAUCGCCUCGGAGAUCGUCCGCGCCGUCCACCGUGGCAUCUCCGUCCAACAGCGCCACGACGCCUUCUACGGAGAGGACGCCUCGUAUGGGUAUGGCGGCAUCGCCGACGACCUCUCCAUCAAGAACCGCGACGCCGACGCUGCUGCAGCGCUGCUUGGUGCUUCCCCCGGCAAGAACGCCAGUGCUGCCGUGGCCGCUCAGCGAGAUGACGAGCUCCUGGAUGACAGGUGGGUGACCGAGAGUCGGAGCCGAGGUAAGGCACGUGGGGCGCAACCGCAGACGGGUCACCUGGACGGGGUUAACUGGGAGGUGAUCGUUGUCAAAGAUGACCUCGUCAAUGCAUUUUGCCUGCCUGGUGGCAAGAUUGUAGUCUUCACUGGAUUGCUUAACAACUUCAGGGCCGAUGCUGAGGUUGCCACUGUUGUUGGGCAUGAGGUUGGGCAUGCUAUUGCGAGGCACUCCGCUGAGCAGAUCACUAAGAACCUCUGGGUGGCAAUCCUGCAGAUUGUCAUCCUGCAGUUUAUUUACAUGCCGGACUUGAUAAAUACGGUGUCAACACUACUACUCAGGCUACCCUUCUCACGAAGGUAAGGCUUCUGUAUUUCAAGUUGCUAAUUGUGAUGCAUCCUAGAUGUGAUAAGCUUCAUGUUUUACUAAAGGUGGCUCACCUAAUAUUCUAAAACAAGUAAAAUGCAAAAUUGAACUGUAUAAGUAGACCUCAAUGUUGCUAUGUGUCAUGCGUUAGGUCAGAUUCCUUCAAGUAGACACACAACAAACUAGCAGGGGCAUCUAAAUAUGUCAGCUCAUUGUAUGGUUGUAUCAUAGGUCGAUGAACAUACAGACCAAGAUAUCAAAACUUAGCGGGCCCUUUUACUGUUAUUGGCAUCAGUUGUGUAGGUGCAUUAAUAUCAGUUGCCACUUGACAUGACAGCUUCUUUGAAUAUUGAAGAUGGCUGUAAACUGUGUUUUAAAUUAUGCCCUUUUAUGGAUAGGCACUGGACAUAACAAAUUAAGUUAUUCAGAUGAUUUUUUUCCAGGACCCAGCAUGUAAUACUUACAUUUCUAUGAACUAACAGUCACUCUUGACAUUAUUAUGUUUCCUUGUGAUUGGCACUAUUAGAAAUGAGGUCGUAACUGCUAGUUAUUGUCUCAAUAGGCCAACAGGGACAUUGGAGAGAGACCCGUGUCUAAAUUUCACCCUUAUGUUUUCUUGGCAUUGUUUUUUUAACACGAAUCUUCAAACAAGUGCCUUCCCUUUUUGCUUUAGGAAGUAAACCCAAUAAGCUUGGAAGUAGCAUAUAGAAUGUGCUCGGCAUGGCUUUGCUUCCAAUAUGUCAAAACCGCUUAUAUUGAUAUCCUUUUUGCUCAACCACUAGAGUUUCACCACGUAGGUAUUUAUAAUUGAAGUAUGCUCUUUGAAUUUCUGACAAAUUUUCUUGUAGCUGGAUGCUUCAGAAUUUUUUGAGUAUGUGAAAAUUGACCAUUUGAAAGAUGCAUUAGUCUAUAGUGAUAUUUUUUUUCUCGAACACGCAGGAGAUCUGUGUAUCUUUAUAUUAAGAAGAGAGAGAGAGUAACCAAUAGAACACACACCACACCCUGAUUCUUAGAUUACAUUCGCGCCUGUUACAAAAGGAUGAUCCUCUACACGCACUGGAUGCAACGAAACCCCAGGAAUUGGGAUGGCCAGGAGGGAUAGCCCUCUAGCACCAGCCAUCUCCCAAAGCUCUCGCUCCUCUGCAGGACUCUUUAAGACUCCGGCCAAGCUAGGGCUAGCCCAUCAAAAACACAUCGAUUGUUAUGCUUCCAUAGAGACCAAGCUCCUAAGACAAUGAAGGAAUUGAGGCCUUGAUGUAGUAAGCCAUUUGUUGCAUUGCUUACAUCCUGCCAUCAUCAUGAAAGGAAAUCACUCCUGGCUGUGGUGGUAGAACCUGCAAACCGACCUGGUGAAGGAGGUGAACCAGAAAAUAAUCAAUAGAUUCACCAACAAAUGAUCAAUAGAUUCCUCUUCUUGGUCACAGAAAGGACAACAAUCAGGAUGAUCUAUCCCAUGGCGUGCAAAACUAUCAGCAGUCCAGCAUUUUUUAUGUGCCACAAGCCAUAGAAAAAAAAUACAUUUUGGUGGAGCUCAAGUCUUCCAGAUCCUCUCCCAAGGCCCAAACUGAGUAGAGCCCACAAGCAAACCGUCAUAGGCUGAUUUGGCUGAGUAUUGUCCACCAGUUCAGAAACACCAAAUAAUAACAUCUUUUACGCCUGGUUGUAGCUCAAAGUCAGAAAUGAUGUCCCAUUAUCUUAAGAAUUCUAUAAGAAUCCCUACUGUGAGCUGCCCUUGAAUAUUUGAGAUCCAUGCCUGGUUUGUGAGAGCUUCCUGUACAGUGUGCUUUCUCGAUAUUCUCUUCGGAAUUAUUGCAUGUAAGCAUGGGAUAAUAUCCACAGCGCAUUGAUCUUGCAACCACCGAUCACUCCGAAAUAAAGUGUUUGCUCCAUCUCCAAUAUCAGACCACAAAGCUAUGGAUAAGAAACCCAACCUGACACUCCAAAAUAAAGUGUUUGCUCCAUCUCCAAUAUCAGACCACAAAGCUAUGGAGAAGAAACUCCGAACUUGAUCUGGAACAUGAAUUGGGAGAGUAGCCCAAGGAUGGUUUGGUUCUGUUUUUUUGCAACCAUAACCACCACAUUCUCAAGGCCCAAUUCAAGUUUUGAAGAUCGGAAAAACCAAGUCCUCGAAGCUCCAAUGGACGACAGACUUCUUCCAAGCUUCUAGACAAUGGCCACCUUUGGCUUCUUUACGAGCCCCAUAGGAAACCGUGUCUGAUUUCAUCAAUAGCUUUUAGCACCCAGGAUGGAAGAUCGAGCGCCACUGCAAGAUAUAUCAACACGGCAGUGAGAACAAACUGAACCUGAACUCUCCUCCCGGCUCUUGUCAUUAAGUACACUUUCCAAGCUGGUAGUUGAUCUGCAAUACGAUCAAUUGGUUUCCAUGUUUACUUAAGAAUGGAGAUAGAGGCUGACCACAUCGGGCUCCUGCUGCUCGCUUCUGCUGGUUACGAUCCGCGUGUCGCCCCUUCGGUCUAUGAGAAGCUAGGAAAGAUCGGAGGAGAUUCAGCACUGAAUAACUACCUCUCGACUCACCCGUCCAGCAAGAAGAGGGCGCAGCUUCUGUCGCAGGCCAGUGUCAUGAACGAGGCGCUGAAACUGUAUAGGGAGGUUAGUGCCGGCCAAGGCACCGAAGGUUUCCUCUAGAUUCUGGGACCUGCUCCUCUGCUUGUUUCAAACGCCUCACAAAGAGGUUGGUGGUCUUGUUAGCUGCAGUAGUGACGGCCUGUGGCAUCGGCGUUCUGAGUGGUUCAGAAGCCUGGAAGAUUAAACUAAGCUAUUUGCUCCUCGUUAUUUCCAGUCGUUCUGAUGUCGAACGGGGCCCUCGUCGCUUCCCCUAGCAGACGCAGGAUAGCUGUUUCUGCAUUUGUCAUUAGGAAAAAAAAGAAAUUAAGCACCGUAUUAUUGUCAAUAAUUGUUGGUUGACACCAGCUCCUGUUUCAAGUGUGGUUUUGCUCUAUUCA